GUCCUUAUAGAAUUGUGUUUCUUUUUGUAUAAAGGAAUGAUGUGGAUCUGGAUGCUUUAUGCCAUUCUUACUGUAACAUUAUGGGAUGUUUCAUUCGAAUAGAUAACUCUCUGUAAUUAACAAUCCUAGUUUAUUUGCCAUUUAUGAGUUUGAAUUUAACAAUGAUUUAUUGAAUUAAACUAUCAAAUAGAAGAAAUCUGUGGCUAAGUAAAUUUAUUAUCUUUGAGGAGUUUUGUCUUGCCUGGGCUUGUGAAUUUUUCUUGUUAAGGUCGUCCUAUUUAUAUAAUAUUAUUGUGCUGGUAAAUUUAAGAUUCUUAUUCUCCCUCUUUGGUCUGUGGUCUUUGUAUCACCAAUUACACUGCAUUUUUGCCAUAACAUCUGGUGUGGUGAAUGAACCUGUUUUUCAGUGGUGACAACAUCACUUAUUUGUGUUACCUGGGCAGCAAUGCUCUACUGGUACAUCAGAAUUCUUGGUAUCACUUGAACUUUCAGAUCCAAAUUAGCCAAAAGGAUAAAUUUGCACUUAAUAACAUGGU
rnacentral:misc_RNA from 1 species